ACUCUCAUUUCCUCCAAUCUCGUUUCCCCCCCCCAUUUCAUUUUCCCCAAUCUCAUUUCCUCCAAUCUCAUUUCCCUCCAUUUCAUUUCCCCUAAUCUCGUUUCCCCCCCAUUUCAUUUUCCCCAAUCUCAUUUCCUCCAAUAUUUUCACCUGGCUUCAAUAUUAUCACAUCGUUUCUUUCCCAUUCUUUCAGCCUAACCUUCCACAACCCUCAAUAAUCCAUCACUUCCAUGAUCGUGACCUAACCUUCCACAACAUUUAUGGACUGAGGCAACAUAUUCCAGAAACGCUAAGUAAUACAUCAAUUUGAUUCUUCUUUGGUUUUCUAUAUUCUUCUUUUUCAUUUAGGCUUUUCAUUUUCUAUUUUUCCUCUUUUAUUCCUUAAUCUUCCUCUCUUCCUCUUACAUUCUCUUCUUUUUCCAUUUUAU
rnacentral:lncRNA from 1 species